AUUUUUAGAAUGUAUCAAAGGAGUAAUUAUCUAAAGAAUAUGUUGGAGUAUUACUUGGGCUAAUGUCCUAAAUGAUCUGUCUAUUCUUUUUGGAACCACUUUAACAACCUGAUUAUUCUGUUUAAGGUAAGAAGGAAUGAGAUGGAGCUAAGAAGAUGACUGUGGAACUGGAAACCACCUAUACCACUAACCAUCCACCUGAUGAAGAGGCAACAACACAAUUUAAUCAUGAGAUGAGAACCUGGAUCCAGGAACCAACCGACCACAGUCAAUCUGAGGAUGCCUUAACACCCUGGAAUGUCCCCAGAGCUCUAACCAAUCACAGAGCCCUGGAGAUCGAGCCAACCAAUCAAAGGAAAGAAAGAUAAACAUCAUCUAUUCCUAUUCUAAUAGGCUUCAAAAUGACCCUGCAAAGUGUAUACCUGCGUGCCCAUUCCUGAAUGGAGAGACCACUGCACGCAGGAAAUUCUGCUGAAUAAAUAUUCUUGACUUUUUCAUA